rnacentral:rRNA from 1 species
GAUGAACGCUGGCGGCGUGCCUAAUACAUGCAAGUCGAGCGAACAGACGAGGAGCUUGCUCCUCUGACGUUAGCGGCGGACGGGUGAGUAACACGUGGAUAACCUACCUAUAAGACUGGGAUAACUUCGGGAAACCGGAGCUAAUACCGGAUAAUACAUUGAACCGCAUGGUUCAAUAGUGAAAGACGGUUUUGCUGUCACUUAUAGAUGGAUCCGCGCCGCAUUAGCUAGUUGGUAAGGUAACGGCUUACCAAGGCAACGAUGCGUAGCCGACCUGAGAGGGUGAUCGGCCACACUGGAACUGAGACACGGUCCAGACUCCUACGGGAGGCAGCAGUAGGGAAUCUUCCGCAAUGGGCGAAAGCUUGACGGAGCAACGCCGCGUGAGUGAUGAAGGUCUUCGGAUCGUAAAACUCUGUUAUUAGGGAAGAACAAAUGUGUAAGUAACUAUGCACGUCUUGACGGUACCUAAUCAGAAAGCCACGGCUAACUACGUG